CCUACGGGUGGCAGCAGUAGGGAAUAUUGCUCAAUGGGGGAAACCCUGAUGCAGCAACGCCGCGUGGAGGAUGAAGGUUUUCGGAUUGUAAACUCCUUUUGUUAGAGAAGAUGAUGACGGUAUCUAACGAAUAAGCACCGGCUAACUCCGUGCCAGCAGCCGCGGUAAUACGGAGGGUGCAAGCGUUACUCGGAAUCACUGGGCGUAAAGAGCGCGUAGGCGGGAUAGUAAGUCAGAUGUGAAAUCCUAGGGCUUAACCAUAGAACUGCAUUUGAAACUGUUAUUCUAGAGUAUGGGAGAGGUAGGUAGAAUUCUUGGUGUAGGGGUAAAAUCCGUAGAGAUCAAGAGGAAUACUCAUUGCGAAGGCGACCUGCUAGAACAUAACUGACGCUGAUGCGCGAAAGCGUGGGGAGCAAACAGGAUUAGAUACCCCAGUAGUC
rnacentral:rRNA from 1 species